UUACAUAUGCUAUAAAUAUAUGUUCAGCAUGCGAACUAUUCUUUCGCCUUUUACUAAAGAAUACCGUGUUUCUGUCACAAUUUACGGCAUACAUUAAUUUUUGGAAGAGUUUCCUUUAUUGGAAGACU
rnacentral:snRNA from 1 species